rnacentral:rRNA from 1 species
CGUAGGGCGCAAGCGUUAUCCGGAAUUAUUGGGCGUAAAGAGCUCGUAGGCGGUUUGUCGCGUCUGCCGUGCAAGUCCGGGGCUCAACUCCGGAUCUGCGGUGGGUACGGGCAGACUAGAGUGAUGUAGGGGAGACUGGAAUUCCUGGUGUAGCGGUGAAAUGCGCAGAUAUCAGGAGGAACACCGAUGGCGAAGGCAGGUCUCUGGGCAUUAACUGACGCUGAGGAGCGAAAGCAUGGGGAGCGAACAGGAUUAGAUACCCUGGUAGUCCAUGCCGUAAACGUUGGGCACUAGGUGUGGGGGACAGUUCCACGUUUUCCGCGCCGUAGCUAACGCAUUAAGUGCCCCGCCCGGGGAGUACGGCCGCAAGGCUA